CAAGAAAUAGUUUAUCAAAAAUAAUGCGUUGAAGGUGCCCCGAGAUUGGGAGUUCGUUAUUUUUUACUUGA
rnacentral:tRNA from 1 species